rnacentral:rRNA from 1 species
GGAAUAUUGCACAAUGGGCGAAAGCCUGAUGCAGCGACGCCGCGUGAGGGAUGACGGCCUUCGGGUUGUAAACCUCUUUCAGUAGGCAAGAAGCGAAAGUGACGGUACCUGCAGAAGAAGCGCCGGCUAACUACGUGCCAGCAGCCGCGGUAAUACGUAGGGCGCAAGCGUUAUCCGGAAUUAUUGGGCGUAAAGAGCUCGUAGGCGGUUUGUCGCGUCUAUCGUGAAAGUCCGAGGCUCAACCUCGGAUCUGCGGUGGGUACGGGCAGACUAGAGUGAUGUAGGGGAGACUGGAAGUCCUGGUGUAGCGGUGAAAUGCGCAGAUAUCAGGAGGAACACCGAUGGCGAAGGCAGGUCUCUGGGCAUUAACUGACGCUGAGGAGCGAAAGCAGGGGGAGCGAACAG